AGAGCUUGCUCUCGGGUGACGAGCGGCGGACGGGUGAGUAAUGUCUGGGAAACUGCCUGAUGGAGGGGGAUAACUACUGGAAACGGUAGCUAAUACCGCAUAACGUCGCAAGACCAAAGUGGGGGACCUUCGGGCCUCAUGCCAUCAGAUGUGCCCAGAUGGGAUUAGCUAGUAGGUGGGGUAACGGCUCACCUAGGCGACGAUCCCUAGCUGGUCUGAGAGGAUGACCAGCCACACUGGAACUGAGACACGGUCCAGACUCCUACGGGAGGCAGCAGUGGGGAAUAUUGCACAAUGGGCGCAAGCCUGAUGCAGCCAUGCCGCGUGUGUGAAGAAGGCCUUCGGGUUGUAAAGCACUUUCAGCGGGGAGGAAGGCGUUAAGGUUAAUAACCUUGGCGAUUGACGUUACCCGCAGAAGAAGCACCGGCUAACUCCGUGCCAGCAGCCGCGGUAAUACGGAGGGUGCAAGCGUUAAUCGGAAUUACUGGGCGUAAAGCGCACGCAGGCGGUCUGUC
rnacentral:rRNA from 1 species